rnacentral:lncRNA from 1 species
UUUUUGUAUGUUGAGCACUUGAUUAUUGAAAGUCGCCUAGAGGGGGGUGAAUAGGCGGAAUUUGAAAAUUAUAAACUUAAGCACACACUACAAGCCGGGGUUAGCGUUAGAAAUAAAAUCGAGUUCGAAAGAGAGGGUGAAAAUAAAUCAAAAGCAAAUGAAGUGGAUGACACGGUGAUUUGUUUUAUCGAGGUUCGGUUCUUGCAAACCUACUCCCCGUUGAGGUGGUCACAAAGACCGGGUCUCUUUCAACCCUUUCCCUUUCUCAAACGGUCACCUAGACCGAGUGAGCUUUUCUCCUUAAUCAAACAGGUCACUUUGACCCCUACAAGGACAACCACAACUUGGUGUCUCUUGCUUUGAUUACAAGUGUCUUGAGAACAAGAAAGAGGAAGAAGAAAAGCGAUCCAAGCGCAAGAGCUCAAAGAAGACGAGCAAAACUUUCUCUUCUAGCACUAAUUGCUUUGAGUGGAAUUGAGACUUGGAGAGGCUUUGAUUCAAUCUAAUUAUGUCUUGUAUUGAAUGCACUAGCUCUUGUAUUGAGUGAGAUGUCUGAAAAACUUGGAUGCAUUGAAGUGUGGUGGUUGGGGGUAUUUAUACCCCCAACCACCAAAACAGCUGUUGGGGAAGUCUGCUGUCGAAGGGCGCACCGAACAGUCCGGUGCGCCACCGGACACUGUCCGGUGCGUCAGCCACGUCACCCAACCGUUAGGGUUCUGACGGUUUCGACCGUUGGAGCUCUGUCUUAAUGGGGCACCGGACAGUCUGGUGCCGCACCGGACAGGUACUGUUCACUGUCCGGUGCGCCUUCUAGCGCUGCUCUGACUCUGCACGCACAGUCCACACGCUGUUCACUGUUCACUGUUGCUUUGCAGACGACCGUUGGCGCAGUAGUCAUUGCUCCGCAUGACACACCUGACAGUCCGGUGCUACACCAGACAGUUCGAUAAAUUAUAGCGGAGUGGCAUUUCCAAAAACCCGAAGGUGGCAAGUUUGAGUUGAUCCACCCUGGUGCACCGGACUGUCCGGUGCGCCAGACCAGGGCACACUUCGGUUUUCUUUGCUCCCUUUGUUUUGAACCCUAACUUGUUCUUUUUAUUGGUUUGUGUUAAACCUAUGACACCUGUAGAACAUAUAAUCUAGAGCAAACUAGUUAGUCCAAUUGUUUGUGUUGGACAAUUCAACCACCAAAAUCAUUUAGGAAAAGGUUUGACCCUAUUUCCCUUUCAAUCUCCCCCUUUUUGGUGAUUGAUGCCAACACAAACCAAAGCAGAUAUAUAAGUGCAGAAUUGAACUAGUUUGUAUAAUGUAAGUGCAUAGGUUGCUUGGAGUGAAACCAAUAUAAUUAUUUUAAUAGAUAUGCAUGGAUUGCUUUCUUCUAUUUUAACAUUUUGGACCACGUUUGCACCAUGAGUUUUGUUUUUGCAAAUUCUUUGGAAAAUUCUUUUCAAAACCCUUUUGCAAAUAGUCAAAGAUAUAUAAAUAAAAUUUGAAAGAAACAUUUUCAAGAUUUGAGAUUUUCUCCCCCUGUUUCAAAUGCUUUUCCUUUGACUUUAAACAAAACUCCCCCUAAAUGAAAUUCUCCUCUUAGCUUUCAAGAGGGUUUUGGGAUAUAUUAAUUGAGAUACUCUCAUUAGGGGAAUACCAAUUUGAAAGAUACUAAUACCAAUAAAAAUUUUCAAAACAUAAUUAAAAAAUUAGGUGGUGGUGUGGCGGUCCUUUUGCUUUGGGCUAAUACUCUCUCCCCCUUUGGCAUGAAUCACCAAAAACGGAGACUUUGUGAGCCCUUUUAAAAAUUCUCUCCCACUUUAGCAAACAAUAUAUGAGUGAAAGAUUAUACCAAUGGAGAGAUGGCGGAAUACCGACAAAGAGUAGAUAAUACCGAUGGAGUUGAGUGGAAGCGUCGUCUUUGCCGAAUACUCCAUUUCCCUUUCAAUUCUAUGACUAAGUAUGAGAAUACACUUGAAAACACAAUAGUCAUAGACAUAAAAGAGAUAUGAUCAAAGGUAUAUAAAUGAGCUAUGUGUGCAAAGUAUCAAUCAAAGUUUCGAGAAUCAAGAAUGUUUAGCUCAUUCCUAAGUUUGGUAAAGGUUUUCUCAUCUAGUGGUUUGGUAAAGAUAUCGGCUAGUUGAUCUUUGGUGUUAAUAUAGGCUAUCUCGAUAUCCCCCCCUUUGUUGGUGAUCUCUCAAAAAGUGAUAUCGAAUGGCUAUGUGCUUAGUGCGGCUGUGUUCAACGGGAUUAUCCGCCAUGCGGAUUGCACUCUCAUUAUCACAUAGGAGAGGGACUUUGCUAAAUUUGUAGCCAUAGUCCCUAAGGGUUUGCCUCAUCCAAAGCAAUUGCGCGCAAAAAUGGCCUGCGGCAAUAUACUCGGCUUCGGCGGUAGAAAGAGCUACUGAGUUUUGUUUCUUUGAAGCCCAAGACACCAGGGAUCUCCACAGAAACUGACAAGACCCUGAUGUGCUCUUCCUAUCAAUUUUGCACCCUGCCCAAUCGGCAUCUGAAUAUCCUAUUAAAUCAAAAGCGGAUCCCUUGGGGUACCAAAGCCCAAACUUAGGAGUAUAAACUAAAUAUCUCAAGAUUCUCUUUACGGCCCUAAGGUGAACUUCCUUAGGAUCGGCUUGGAACCUUGCACACAUGCAUACGGAAAGCAUAAUAUCCGGUCGAGAUGCACAUAAAUAGAGUAAAGAUCCUAUCAUCGACCGGUAUACCUUUUUAUCUACGGAUUUACCUGCCCUGUCGAGGUCGAGAUGCCCAUUGGUUCCCAUGGGUGUCUUGAUGGGCUUGGCAUCGUUCAUUCCAAACUUGGUGAGUAUGUCUUGAAUGUACUUCGUUUGGCUGAUGAAGGUGCCCUCUUGGAGUUGCUUGACUUGAAAUCCUAGAAAAUACUUCAACUCCCCCAUCAUAGACAUCUUGAAUUUUUGGACCAUGAUCCUACUAAACUCUUCAUAAGUAGAUUUGUUAGUAGACCCAAAUAUGAUAUCAUCAACAUAAAUUUGGCAUACAAACAAGUCUUUUGCAAUAGUUUUAGUAAAGAGAGUAGGAUCGGCUUUACCGACUUUGAAGCCAUUAGUGAUUAAAAAGUCUCUUAGGCAUUCAUACCAUGCUCUUGGUGCUUGCUUAAGCCCAUAGAGCGCAUUGGAGAUCUUAUAGACAUGGUUAGGGUACUCACUAUCUUCAAAGCCUGGAGGUUGCUCAACAUAGACCUCUUUCUUGAUUGGUCCAUUGAGGAAGGCACUUUUCACGUCCAUUUGAUAAAGCUUAAAGCCAUGGUAAGUAGCACAGGCAAGUAAUAUACGAAUUGACUCAAGCCUAGCUACGGGUGCAUAGGUUUCACCGAAAUCCAAACCUUCGACUUGCGAAUAGCCUUUGGCCACAAGUCGUGCUUUGUUCCUUGUCACCACACCAUGCUCAUCUUGCUUGUUGCGAAAUACCCACUUGGUUCCUACAACAUUUUGAUUAGGACGUGGAACUAAAUGCCAUACCUCAUUCCUCGUGAAGUUGUUGAGUUCCUCUUGCAUCACCAGCACCCAAUCCAAAUCUUUAAGUGCAUCCUCAACCCUGUAUGGCUCAAUAGAGGAGACAAAAGAGUGAUGUUCACAAAAAUGAGCGACUCGAGAUCGAGUAGUUACCCCCUUAUGGAUGUCACCAAGAAUGGAGUUCACGGGGUGAUCUCUUUGAAUCGCUUGGUGGACUCUUGGGUGUGGCGAUCUUUGACAUUGUUCAUCUUCCUUGUCUUCAUCAUUGUCAUCUCCCCCUUGAUCAUUGCCCUCCUCUUGAGGUGGCUCAUCUUCUUGAUCUUCUUCUUCAUCAUCUUGAACUUGUUCCUCAUCUUGAGUUGGUGGAGAUGCUUGUAUGGAAGAUGAUGGUUGAUCUUGUGCUUGUGGAGGCUCUUCGGAUUCCUUAGGACACACAUCCCCAAUGGACAUGUUCCUUAGCGCGACGCACGGAGCCUCUUCAUCAUCUAGCUCAUCAAGAUCAACUUGCUCUACUUAAGAGCCAUUAGUCUCAUCAAACAUAAUGUCACAAGAAACUUCAACUAGUCCAGUGGACUUGUUAAAGACUCUAUAUGCCCUUGUGUUUGAGUCAUAACCAAGUAAAAAGCCUUCUACAGACUUAGGAGCAAAUUUAGAUUUUCUACCUCUUUUAACAAGAAUAAAACAUUUGCUACCAAAGACUCUAAAAUAUGAAACAUUGGGCUUUUACCGGUGAGGAGUUCAUAUGAUGUCUUCUUGAGGAUUCGGUGAAGGUAGAGCCGGUUGAUGGAGUAGCAGGCUGUGUUAAUCGCCUCGGCCCAAAACCGGUCCGGUGUCUUGUACUCAUCAAGCAUGGUCCUCGCCAUGUCAAGUAGAGUUCUAUUCUUCCUCUCCAUUACACCAUUUUGUUGAGGUGUGUAGGGAGAAGAGAACUCAUGCUUGAUGCCCUCCUCCUCAAGGAAGCCUUCAAUUUGAGAGUUCUUGAACUCCAUCCCAUUAUUGCUUCUUAUUUUCUUGAUCCUCAAUCUGAACUCAUUUUGAGCCCGUCUCAAGAAUCCCUUUAAGGUCUCUUGGGUGUGAGAUUUUUCCUGCAAAAAGAAUACCCAAGUGAAGCGAGAAUAGUCAUCCACAAUUACAAGACAAUACUUACUCCCGCCGAUGCUUAUAAGCUAUCGGGCCGAAUAAAUCCAUGUGGAGUAGCUCAAGCGGCCUGUCGGCCGUCAUAAUGUUCUUGUGUGGAUGGUGGGUACCAACUUGCUUUCUUGCUUGACAUGCACUACAAAUCCUGUCUUUCUUAAAAUGAACAUUGGUUAGUCCCAAAAUGUGCUCUCCCUUUAGAAGCUUGUGAAGAUUCGUCAUCCCAACAUGGGCUAGUCGGCGAUGCCAGAGCCAACCCAUAUUAGUCUUAGCAAUUAAGCAAGUGUCGAGUUCAGCUCUAUUGAAAUCAACUAAGUAUAGCUGACCCUCUAACACUCCCUUAAAUGCUACUGAAUCAUCACUUCUUCUAAAGAUAGUAACACCUAAAUCUGUAAAAAGACAGUUGUAACCCAUUUUGCAUAAUUGAGAAACUGAAAGCAAAUGGUAAUCUAAUGAAUCUACAAGAAAAACAUUGGAAAUAGAAUGGUCAGGUGAUAUAGCAAUUUUACCAAGUCCUUUGACCAAACCUUGAUUUCCAUCCCCGAAUGUGAUAGCUCUCUGGGGAUCUUGGUUUUUCUCAUAGGAGGAGAACAUCCUUUCUCCCCAGUUAUGUGGUUUGUGCACCCGCUAUCAAUGAUCCAACUUGAGCCCCCGGAUGCAUAAACCUACAAAACAAGUUUAGGCCUUGUUCUUAGGUACCCAAACGGUCUUGGGUCCUUUGACAUUAGAAACAAACACCCUGGGUACCCAAACACAAGUCUUUGAGCCCUUGUGCUUGGCCCCAACAUAUUUGGCAACUACUUUGCCUAAUUUGUUAGUUAAAACAUAAGAAGCAUCAAAAGUCUUAAAUGAAACAAUAGGCUCAUUUGAUGCAGUAGGAGUUUUCUUUUUAGGCAAUUUAACAUGAGUGGAUUGCCUAGAACUAGAUGCCUCACUCUUAUACAUAAAAGCAUGAUGAGAGCCAGAGUGAGACUUCCUAGAAUGAAUUUUCCUAAUAUUAUCCUUAGGAUAACCAGCAGGAUAUAAAAUAUAGCCCUUGUUAUCUUGAGGCAUGGGAGCCUUGCCCUUAACAAAGUUAGACAAUCUCUUAGGGGCAUUUAGUUUAACAUUGCCUCCCUGUUGGAAGCCAAUGCCAUCCUUAAUGCCAGGGUGUCUCUCACUAUAGAGCAUGCUUCUAGCAAAUUUAAAAUUUUCAUUUUCUAAGUCAUGCUCAUUAAUUUUAGCACUAAGUUGGGCUAUGUGAUCAUUUUGUUGUUUAAUUAAAGCUAGGUGAUCAUGGAUAGCAUCAACAUUAAUGUCUCUACAUCUAGUACAAAUAGAAACAUGAUCAACAGUAGAUGUAGAGGGUUUGCAAACAUUUAAUUCAUUAAUCUUAGCAUGUAACAUGGCAUUUUCAUUUCUAAGAUUGGAAAUAACAUCAUUGCCAACCUUUAAAUCCUUAGCCUUAGCAAUUAAUUUUUCAUUCUCAAUCUUAAGGCUAGCAAUUGAUUCAUUCAACUUGUCAAUUUUAGCAAUUAAACUAGCAUUAUCAUUUUUAAGGUUGACAAGAGAAUCAUCACAUAUAUUUGACUUCUCAAUUUUAGCAAUCAAAUUAGCAUUCUCAAUUCUAAGGUUGGAGAUAGUGUCAUGGCAAGUGCUAAGCUCACUAGUCAAUUUUCACAUUUUUCUAUCUACUGAGCAUAAGCAUUUUAACUUUAACAUGCUUCUUGUUUUCCUUAAUUAGGAAUUCCUCUUGGCUAUCCAAGAGUUCAUCCUUCUCAUGAAUAGCUCCUAUCAAUUCAUUCAAUUUUUCUUUUUGUUGCAUGUUUAAGUUGGCAAAAAGAACAAGCAAGUUAUCUUCAUCAUCACUAGAGCUACUCUCAUCACUAGAUAUUGCAUAUUUAGUGGAGCCUCUAGAUUUUACCUUCUUCUUUUUGUCGUCCUUUGCCAUGAGGCACUUGUGGCCGACGUUGGAGAAGAGAAGUCCCUUGUUGACGGCGAUGUUGGCGGCGUCUUCGUCGGAGGAGGAGUCGGUGGAGCUCUCAUCGGAGUCCCAUUCCCGACAUACGUGGGCAUCGCCGCCCUUCUUCUUGUAGUACUUCUUUUCCUUUCUCCUUCCCUUCUUGUCGUCGCCCCUGUCACUAUCACUAGAUAAUGGACAUUUAGCAAUAAAAUGACCGGGCUUACCACACUUGUAGCAAACUUUCUUGGAACGGGGUUUGUAGUCUUUCCCCUUCCGUUGCUUGAGGAUUUGACGGAAGCUCUUGAUGAUGAGCGCCAUCUCCUCGUUGUCGAGCUUGGAGGCGUUGAUGGGAAGCCUACUUGAUGUAGACUCUUCUUUCUUCUCCUCCGUUGCUUUGAAGGCAACGGGUUGCACCUCGGGUGUUGAGGUGGCGCCUCUAAAAGGGAAAUGUGCCCUUGGGCAAUUUCUAUUAUGUUUUGGUGAUUAAGUGCCCAACACAUUUAAUUAAGUUCUUAUGUGCUAAAUGAAGAGAAAAGUGCAAAUCAAGACAUGAGGUAUGUUUCUAGACUUAGUACAUUUGCUUUUGAAUACUGAUGAAGUUAUCUAAGUGUUAGAAACAGAGAAAAGAAGAAAAGAAAAGGAUUGCAAAAGACUGGCUGUGUGCAGCCGAAGCUCAGCUCAGUCUGGCACACCGGACAGUCCGGUGGUGCACCGGGCAAUGUCCGGUGCGCCAGGCUGGACUCCGGUGAGAAGGCUGCUCUCGGGAAAAGUUUGGCGGUGUACGACUAUAAUUCAUCGGACUGUCCGGUGGUGCACCGGACUGUCCGGUGAGCCAACGGUCAGCCGCGCAAUCCGCGGGCGACGCGUGGCCCGCGCCAACGGUCGGCAGGGGGCACCGGACUAUCCCGAAGCUGCAACGGUCGUCUGCGCUAGAAAAGGAAGGAGAUCGGCACCGGACCAUCUACACUGACUAUCCGGUGGCGCACCGGACUGUCCGGUGCGCCACUCGACAAAAGGCAAGGAUAGCCUUCCUUGUUGAUAUUCAACGGCUCCUAGCUGCCUUGGGGCUAUAAAAGGGACCCCUAGGUGCAUGGAGGAGAAAAACAAGCAUUCACUAAGCAUCCUAAGGCAUCCAGACUUUGUUCCCGCGCAUUCGUUUCGUUGUGUUAGAGACUUGAGCUCUAUUCGAGUUAAGGACUCCCUGUGUUGUCAUUUGAGCUCAAGUCUUCUCUUGUGUGCGUGGGUAUGCUGCGAUUUAUGUCUUGUGUGUGUUGCUCAUCCCAACCUUACUCCAUGCUUUCAUUGUGAUCUUUGUUGUAAGGGCAAGAGACUCCAAUCUUGUGGAGAUUCCUCGCAAACGGGAAUAAUCAUCUCAAGGAAAAACCGUGGUAUUCAAGUUGAUCAUCGGAUCACUUGAAAGGGGUUGAGUGCAACCCUCGUCCAUUGGGACGCCAUAACGUGGAAGUAGGCAAGUGUUACUUGGCCGAACCACGGGAUAAAAAUCGUGUGUCUUGUGUUGAUCUUUCUGUGAUUGUUUUGUCCACAAGAAUUCGCUUCUCAACUACUUAGUCGCACUAACAUUUCUAUAACCAAGUUGUGUGGCUAUUUAGUGUUGAAUUUUAUAGGAUCACCUAUUCACCCCCCCUCUAGGUGCUCUCAAUUGGUAUCAGAGCCGUUCUCUUCACAUAAGGGACUAAUCGCCCGAAGAGAUGGAUCCUAAGGGAAAGGGGAUGGUGGUCAACGACAAGGAGAAGGAGUCCAUCUUCAACGAGCCAAGAGAUGACAAGCCCACUGACUCUGGCUCGAGUCACAAGAAGAAGGACGGGAAGAAGAAGAGGUGCAUCAAGAAGAUCGUCUACUACGACAGCGAUGAAUCUUCUUCACCAAGAGACGACGACGACGAUGAUUCGUCUAAAAAGAAACUGGUUAAUCAAAACUAUUCAUUUGAUUAUUCUCAUAUUCCAUUCAAUUCUAAUGCUCAUUUGCUAUCAAUUCCACUUGGUAAAGCUCCACAUUUUGAUGGAGAAGACUACUCUUUUUGGAGUCACAAAAUGCGUAGUCACUUAUUUCCUCUCCAUCCUAGUAUUUGGGAGAUAGUUGAAAAUGGAAUGCAUUUUGAUAGCACGGAUAACCCUAUGUUUAUUAAUGAGCAAAUUCAUAAGAACACACAAGCUACCACUGUUUUGCGAGCAUCUUUGUGCAGGGAUGAGUACAACAAGGUGAGCGGCUUGGACAACGCCAAGCAAAUCUGGGACACCCUCAAGAUAUCUCAUGAGGGAAACGACGCCACCAUAGUCACCAAAAUGGAGUUGGUGGAAGGCGAGCUAGGAAGGUUCGCAAUGAUCAGGGGAGAGGAGCCAACACAAACAUACAACAGGCUCAAGACCCUGGUUAACAAGAUCAGAAGCUAUGGAAGCACAAGAUGGACAGACUACGACAUCGUCCAACUUAUGCUAAGGUCAUUCAUGGUAAUUGACCCCCAUCUUGUCAAUCUCAUUCGUGAAAACCCCAGGUACACCAAGAUGACACCCGAGGAGAUACUCGGAAAAUUCGUGAGCGAGCGUAUGAUGGUAAAAGAAGCGCGAUACGUGGAUGAUGCUCUUAAUGGCCCUCUACCCGUCUAUGAGCCUCAACCCGUGGCUCUCAAAGCAACAAGCAGCAGGGAGGCGCUACCAAGCAAGGUGGCACAAGUUGAGACUGCCGGGCUAAACGAAGAUGAGAUGGCCCUAAUCAUCAAACGCUUCAAGACCGCACUGAAAGUACGCAAGGAGUACCCCAACAAGAACAAAGCAAAGGGAAAACGCUCCUGUUUCAAAUGCGGUAAGACUGGUCAUUUCAUAGCACAAUGCCCCGAUAAUGAUAAUGACCAGGAAUAAGAAAAGCAUGGGAAGAGGGAGAAGAAGAAGGUUUACAAGAAGGCGAAGGGCGAGGCGCACCUUGGCAAAGAAUGGGACUUGGACUGCUCUUCAUCUGACUCCGACGAUGAAGGACUGGCAGCCUCGGCCUUCAACAAAUCUUCACUCUUCCCCAACGAACGUCACACUUGCCUCAUGGACAAGGAAAAGAAGGUAAGUGUUCGAGAUACCCCUAAGUACACUACUUCUAGCGAUGAUGAUUCUUCCGAUGAUGAAUUAGAUUACUCUAGCUUAUUCAAAGGUUUAGAUAGAGCUAAGGUAGAAAAGAUCAAUGAAUUAAUUGAUGCUCUAAAUGAAAAGGAUAGAUUGUUAGAAAACACAAGAGGAUAUUUUAUAUGAGGAGCAUGAUAAAUUUGUUAGCGUGCAAAAAUCUCUUGCUUUAGAGAUUAAAAGGAAUGAAAUGCUAUCUUCUGAGUUAUCCGCUUGCCAUGAAACUGUAUCUAGUUUAAAGAGUUUAAAUGAUGAUUUAAAUGCUAAGCUAGAGGAAGCUAAUAAAUCUAGUUCAUGUGUGGAGCAUGUUAGUAUUUGUAAUAGAUGUAAGGACUUUGAUGUUGAUGCAUGUAAUGAACAUCUUAUUGCUAUUAUAAAAUUGAAUGAUGAAGUGGCAAGUCUUAAUGCUCAACUUAAGACUUGCAAACAUGAUUUUGAUAAAUUAAAAUUUGCUAGGGAUGCCUACACAAUUGGUAGACACCCCUCUAUUAAGGAUGGACUUGGUUUUCAAAAAGAAACCAAGAACUUAACAAGCCAAAAGGCUCCCGUUCUCAACAAAGGGAAAAGGAAGGCUCCUAUGGCUAGUAGUUCUCAAAAGUGUUGAAAGGGAAAUGUGUCCUUGGGCCAUUUCUAAAGUGUUUUGGUGAUUAAGUGCCCAACACAUUUUCUCUAAGUGCUAAUUCGUGCCAAAGAGUGAAGAAAUGCAAAUCAUAUUACAAGGUAUGUUUCUAGACUUAGUGCAUUGAUUUGAGUACUAAUGUAUUGUGUCUAAGUGCUAGAAACAGGAGAAAUUGGUUUGGAAAAGAGUUGGCUGUGUACAGCCAACUGCAGCUCGAUCUGGGUGCACCGGACUGUCCGGUGGUGCACCGGACAGUGUCCAAUGCGCCAGACCAGUCUCGGUGAACAGGCCACUCUCGGGACUCGACGGUGGCGUACGGCUAUAAUUCACCGGACUGUCCGGUGGUGCACCGGACGGUCCGGUGAGUCGUCCGUGGCGAAGUCGUCGCUCUCGAGAAACGUUCAACAGCGUACGGCUAAAAUUCACCGAACUGUCCGGUGGUGCACCGAACUGUCCGGUGAGCCAACAAUCGACUGCUUCAACGGUUGGCCGCGCAAUCCGCGCGCAAUGCAUGGGCAUGCCAACGGUCGGCAGGGGGCACCGGACAGUGUCCGGUGUGCCAACUGCCGCAAAUCUGCAACGGUCGGAUGCGCCAGAAAAGGAAGGAGAUCACGCACCGGACAGCUACAGGGACUGUUGAGAGCACCUAGAGGGGGGGUGAAUAGGUGAUCCUGUAAAACUUCAAAACUUAAGCCACAAAAACUUGUUAAGUGUUAGCACAAGUAUGGCCAAGUGGCUAGAGAGGAGUCAAAACACAAUAACCACAAGAAAUCAAUCACAGAGAUGACACGGUGGUUAUCCCGUGGUUCGGCCAAGUACAAAAACUUGCCUACUCCACGUUGUGGCGUCCCAACGGACGAGAGUUGCACUCAACUCCUCUCAAGUGAUCCAAUGAUCAACUUGAAUACCACGGUGUUCUUGCUUUUCUUUUCUCAAUCCCGUUUGCGAGGAAUCUCCACAACUUGGAGCCUCUCGCCCUUACAAAAGAUGUUCACAGAGAAUCACGGAGCAAGGGAGGGAUUAGCAACGCACACAAGACUUCAAAAGAUCAGAGCAACACGCACACAAGCAGCAAUAAGAGCUCGCAACACAACUCAAAGAGUACACAACUCCACAAGAGCUCUAUAUGCUAUCACAAUGAAUCGAAUGCGCUAGAUCAAUGUCUUGGUGCUUAGAAAGGUUGUCGGAAUGCUUGGUGUACUCCUCCAUGCGCCAAGGGGUCCCUUUUAUAGCCCCAAGGCAGCUAGGAGCCGUUGGGAACAAAUCUGGAAGGCCAUCUUUGCCUUCUGUCUCGUGGCGCACCGGACAGUCCGGUGCACACCGGACACUGUCCGGUGCCCGAUUUGUUUCCUUAAACAGCUCAUCCGACCGUUGCUGUCUGAGUCAGAUCUGCGCACCGUUGGCGCACCGGACAUGUCCGGUGCACACCGGACAGUCCGGUGUAUCUUUCCGACCGUUGGCUCGGCCACGUGUCGCGCGCCGAUCGCGCGGCCGACCGUUGGCCCGGCCGACCGUUGGCUCACCGGACAGUCCGGUGCACACCGGACAGUCCGGUGAAUUUUAGCCGAAGUCGCCGGAGAAAAACCCGAGAGCGGCCUCUUCGGCCGAGGCAGCCUGGCGCACCGGACACUGUCCGGUGCACCACCGGACAGUCCGGUGCCCCAGACCGAAACAGCCCCUUGGCUGCACACAGCCAAGUCUUCUCUUCUCUUCUUCUUUCUGUUUCUAACACUUAGACAAAUAUAUUAGUACACAGAACCAAUGUACUAAGACUUAGAAACAUACCUUUGCUCUAGAUUGGCACUUUGUUCAUCCAUUGGCAUUGAUUCACAUUUAAGCACUUGUGUUGACAUUCAAUCACCAAAAUACUUAGAAAUGGCCCAAGGGCACAUUUCCCUUUCAAUCUCCCCCUUUUGGGUGAUUUAUGCCAACACAACAUAAAGCAACUAGAACAAGUGCAAAAUCACUUCAAAUAAAAACUCAAAUUGGUUUUGAUUCAAUUUUGGCAUAUAUGGAUCAUCCUUUGCCACCACUUGGUUUGUUUUUGCAAAUCAAACUCAAAGCUCUAUUUCUAUGUCAAACACACAUGUUGAGGCAUGAAGAGAGUCAUUCCAAAAGAGAUUGAUCAAAGAUUUCAAAAACUCCCCCUAUUUCCCAUAAUCAACACUUCUCCCCACAAGAAGCCAACUUUUGACAAUAGAGACAAUAAGAGACAAUAAAAGCUUUUGUCAAAACAAAAAUUCUAUUCUACUAUUUUCAAAAUCUCUCAAGUGGUAGCUGAUCCAUUUAUCACUUUGGCCUUUAUUCUCUCCCCCUUUGGCAUCAAGCACCAAAACGGGAUUAAUCUUGGCCUUUUAACCCCAUUGCCUCACCAAAAUCUUCAAUUAAGAGCACAAAGGCAAUAAGAUCAUAGAGAUGAACUUGGAAUAAGUUACCCUCUCAUCGGAGUGCAGUGGAAGUCUUUCAUGGUCCAAGUCCACCUUUCCCUUUUAAUCCACUUUCGAGACUAAAUCAAGCACACUCAAGCAAAUGGUCAGUCUCAAAGGGUCAAGUUGUAACACAUCUCCCCCUAAACAUGUGCAUCACUUUGCAACGGACUUGUGAGGUCCAGGGAGUGUUUGUACAACUUGAGCACCACAAUAAGCAACAGAAUGCAGAAUGAACCUGAUCAAAGGCAUAAACACAUGUAUGCUACAAUUCAAUCCAAGUUCCGCGAAUCUAAGACAUUUAGCUCACUACGCAGCCUGCAAAAGGUCUUCUCAUCUAGAGGCUUGGUAAAGAUAUCGGCUAGCUGGUUCUCGGUGCUAACAUGAAACACUUCGAUAUCCCCCUUUUGCUGGUGGUCUCUCAAAAGUGAUGCCGGAUGUCUAUGUGCUUUGUGCGGCUGUGCUCAACAGGAUUCUCCGCCAUGCGGAUAGCACUCUCAUUGUCACAUAGGAGUGGGACUUUGCUCAGAUUGUAGCCAAAGUCCCGGAGGGUUUGCCUCAUCCAAAGUAGUUGCGCGCAACACUGACCUGCGGCAACGUACUCGGCCUCAGCGGUGGAUAGGGCAACGGAGGUUUGUUUCUUAGAGUUCCAUGACACCAGGGACCUUCCUAAGAAUUGGCACGUCCCCGAUGUACUCUUCCUAUCGACCUUACAUCCAGCAUAGUCGGAGUCUGAGUAUCCAACUAAGUCAAAGGUAGACCCCUUUGGAUACCAGAGCCCGAAGCAAGGCGUAGCAACCAAAUAUCUAAGAAUUCGCUUCACCGCCACUAAGUGACACUCCUUAGGGUCGGACUGAAAUCUAGCACACAUGCAUACGCUAAGCAUAAUAUCCGGUCUACUAGCACAUAAAUAAAGUAAAGACCCUAUCAUUGACCGGUAUGCUUUUUGAUCAACGGACUUACCUCCUUUGUUGAGGUCUGUGUGUCCGUCGGUUCCCAUCGGCGUCUUUGCGGGCUUGGCGUCCUUCAUCCCAAACCUCUUUAGCAAGUCUUGCGUGUACUUUGUUUGGGAGAUGAAAGUGUCGUCCUUGAGUUGCUUCACUUGGAACCCAAGGAAGUAGUUCAACUCGCCCAUCAUCGACAUCUCGAAUUUCUGCGUCAUCACCCUGCUAAACUCUUCACAAGACUUUUGGUUAGUAGAACCAAAUAUUAUGUCAUCGACAUAAAUUUGGCACACAAACAAAUCACCAUCACAUGUCUUUGUAAAAAGAGUUGGAUAGGCUUUCCCAACCUUGAAAGCAUUAGCAAUUAAAAAGUCUCUAAGGCAUUCAUACCAUGCUCUUGGGGCUUGCUUAAGUCCAUAGAGCGCCUUAGAGAGCUUACACACAUGGUCGGGGUACCGUUCAUCCUCGAAGCCAGGGGGUUGCUCCACGUACACCUCCUCCUUGAUUGGCCCGUUGAGGAAAGCGCUCUUCACAUCCAUUUGGUACAACCUGAAAGAAUGGUGAGCGGCAUAUGCUAGCAAGAUACGAAUUGACUCUAGCCUAGCCACAGGAGCAAACGUCUCCUCAAAGUCCAAACCUGCGACUUGGGCAUAACCUUUUGCCACAAGUCGAGCCUUGUUCCUCGUCACCACCCCGUGCUCAUCCUGUUUGUUGCGGAACACCCACUUGGUUCCCACAACAUUUUGCUUUGGACGAGGCACCAGUGUCCAAACUUCAUUGCGCUUGAAGUUGUUGAGUUCCUCCUGCAUGGCCAAUACCCAGUCCGGAUCUAGCAAGGCCUCCUCUACCCUGAAAGGCUCAAUAGAAGAGACAAAGGAGUAAUGUUCACAAAAAUUAACUAAUCGAGAUCGAGUAGUUACUCCCUUGCUAAUAUCACCCAGAAUUUGGUCGACGGGAUGAUCCCUUUGAAUCAUCGCUCGAACUUGGGUUGGAGGUGCCGGUUGCGCUUCUUCCUCCAUCACUUGAUCACCUUGUGCUCCCCCUUGAUCAAUCGCCUCCACUUGAGGUACUUGUACGUCACCUUCGGUUGGGGGAUGCACCAUAGUUGAGGAAGAAGGUUGAUCUCGUUUAUCUUGUUCCUGUGGCCGCACUUCUCCAAUCGCCAUGGUUCGUAUAGCGGCCGUUGGAACAUCUUCUUCAUCUACAUCAUCACAAUCAACAACUUGCUCUCUUGGAGAGCCAUUAGUCUCAUCAAAUACAACGUCGCUAGAGACUUCAACCAAACCCGAUGAUUUGUUGAAGACUCUAUACGCCUUUGUAUUUGAGUCAUAACCUAACAAAAACCCUUCUACAGCUUUGGGAGCAAACUUAGAAUUUCUACCCUUCUUUACUAGAAUGUAGCACUUGCUCCCAAAUACACGAAAGUAAGAUACAUUGGGUUUGUUACCGGUUAGUAGCUCAUAUGAAGUCUUUUUGAGGAGGCGAUGAAGAUAGACCCUGUUGAUGGCGUGGCAAGCCGUGUUCACGGCUUCCGACCAGAAACACUCGGGGGUCUUGAAUUCUCCAAGCAUUGUCCUCGCCAUAUCGAUUAGCGUCCUGUUCUUCCUCUCUACCACACCAUUUUGCUGUGGUGUGUAGGGAGCGGAGAACUCGUGCUUGAUCCCUUCCUCCUCAAGGAAUUCCUCCACUUGAAGGUUCUUGAACUCGGACCCGUUGUCGCUUCUUAUCUUCUUCACUUUGAGCUCAAACUCAUUUUGAGCUCUCCUGAGGAAGCGUUUGAGGGUCCCUUGGGUUUCGGACUUUUCCUGCAAAAAGAACACCCAAGUGAAGCGGGAAAAAUCAUCUACAAUAACUAGACCAUACUUACUUCCUCCUAUGCUCAGAUAGGCGACGGGUCCGAAGAGGUCCAUAUGCAGCAUCUCCAAGGGUCUUGAUGUCGUCAUCACAUUUUUGGUGUGAUGAGAGCCUCCCACCUGUUUCCCUGCUUGACAGGCUGCACAAGGUCUAUCUUUUUCGAAUUGAACAUUAGUUAGACCUAUCACGUGUUCUCCCUUUAGAAGCUUGUGAAGGUUCUUCAUCCCCACAUGUGCUAAGCGGCGAUGCCACAGCCAGCCCAUGCAAGUCUUAGCCAUUAAGCAUGCAUCUAGACCGGCCUCUUCUUUUGCAAAAUCAACUAAGUAAAGCUUGCCGUCUAAUACACCCUUAAAAGCUAGUGAACCAUCACUUCUUCUAAAGACAGACACAUCUACAUUUGUGAAUAGACAGUUAUACCCCAUAUUACAUAAUUGACUAACAGAUAGUAAAUUAUAUCCAAGUGACUCAACUAAGAACACAUUAGAUAUGGAGUGCUCAUUAGAAAUUGCAAUUUUACCUAGACCUUUUACCUUGCCUUGAUUCCCAUCACCGAAUACAAUUGAAUCUUGGGAAUCCUUAUUCUUGACGUAGGAGGUGAACAUCUUCUUCUCCCCCGUCAUAUGGUUUGUGCAUCCGCUGUCGAUAAUCCAGCUUGAACCCCCGGAUGCAUAAACCUGCAAGGCAAAUUUAGGCUUGGGUCUUAGGUACCCAACUCUUGUUGGGUCCUACAAGGUUAGCACAUAUAUCCUUAGGGACCCAAAUGCAAGUUUUAUCUCCCUUGCAUCUUGUCCCUAACUUCCUAGCAAUUACCUUCUUACCCUUUCUACAAAUAGCAAAGGGAGCAUUGCAAGCAUAAUAAAUGGUAGAAGGUUUGUUCACAGCUUUUCUAGGAACAUGAGCAAAAUUUCUCUUAGGCAUAUGCACAACAUUUCCCCUACACAUAUCUCUAUCAUGCUUAUAGGAAGAACUAGAAGCAAACAUGGCAUGAGAAUCAUAAACAUGUGAAUCAAAAUCAUUACAAGCAUUUCUAGCAUGUCUCCUAUCAUGGUACAUAAAGGCAUGGUUCCUUUUUGCACUACUAGCCAUAGGGGCCUUCCCUUUCUCCUUGGCGGGAAUGGGAGCCUUAUGGCUUGUUAAGUUCUUGGCUUCUCUCUUGAAGCCAAGCCCAUCCUUAAUUGAGGGAUGUCUUCCUAUUGUGUAAGCAUCCCUUGCAAAUUUUAACUUAUCAAAUUCACUUUUGCUAGUCUUAAGUUGGGCAUUAAGACUAGCCACUUCAUUAUUUAACUUUGCAAUAGAAGCUAUGUGUUCACUACAAGCAUCAAUAUCAAAGUCUUUACAUCUAUUGCAAAUAACAACAUUUUCUACACAAGUUGUUGAUUUACUAGCUAUUUCUAUCUUAGCAUUCAACUCAUCGUUAAUGCUCUUUAAUUUUGAAAUUGUCUCAUGGCAUGAAGAUAAUUCACAAGUAAGCAUUUCAUUUCUUUUAACUUCUAGAGCAUGAGAUUUUUGAGCUUCUAAAAAUUUAUCAUGCUCUUCAUACAAUAAAUCCUCUUGUUUCUCUAAGAGUUUAUCCUUCUCAUUCAAUACAUCAAUUAAUUUAUUAAUUUUGCCAAUCGUAAUUCUAUCUAGACCUUUAAAUAAACUAGAAUAGUCUAUUUUAUCAUCGUCACUAGAAUCAUCAUCACUAGAAGAAGCAUAAGUAGAGUUUCGAGUACUUACUUUCUUCUCCUUAGCCAUGAGACACGUGUGACGCUCGUUGGGGAAGAGGGCCGAUUUGUUGAAGGCGGUGGCGGCGAGUCCCUCAUUGUCGGAGUCGGAGGAGGAGCAAUCCGAAUCCCACUCCUUGCCUAUAUGCGCCUCGCCCUUGGCUUUCUUGUAGUGCUUCUUCUUCUCCCUUUUGUUCCCCUUUUCCUGGUCACUUUCAUUAUCAGGACAGUUAGCAAUAAAAUGACCAAGCUUACCGCAUUUGAAGCAUGAUCGCUUCCCCUUGGUCUUAGUCUUGCUCGGCUGUCCAUUGCGACCCUUUAGCACCGUCUUGAAUCUCUUGAUAAUGAGGGCCAUUUCUUCAUCAUUAAGACCGGCCGCCUCAAUUUGCGCCACCUUGCUGGGUAGCGCCUCCUUGUUCCUUGUGGCUUUGAGAGCAAAAGGUUGCGGCUCGUUGAUCGGUCCAUUCAAGGCGUCGUCCACAUACCUUGCCUCCUUGAUCAUCAUUCGCCCGCUGACGAAUUUUCCUAGGACUUCUUCGGGCGACAUUUUGGUGUACCUGGGAUUCUCACGAAUAUUAUUCACCAAAUGAGGAUCAAGAACGGUAAAGGACCUGAGCAUUAGUCAGACGACGUCGUGGUCCGUCCAUCGCGUGCUUCCGUAGCUCCUUAUUUUGUUGAUAAGGGUCUUGAGCCGGUUGUAUGUCUGAGUUGGCUCCUCGCCCCUUAUCAUCGCGAACCGUCCAAGCUCGCCUUCCACCAACUCCGUUUUGGUGAGCAAGGUAACGUCAUUCCCUUCAUGAGAGAUCUUGAGGGUGUCCCAGAUCUGCUUGGCGUUAUCCAAGCCGCUCACUUUGUUAUAUUCAUCCCUGCACAAUGAAGCUAGAAGAACAGUGGUUGCUUGUGCAUUCUUAUGGAUUUGCUCAUUAAUGAAUGAAGGGCUAUCCGAGCUAUCAAAUUUCAUUCCACUUUCCACAAUCUCCCAAAUGCUUGGAUGGAGAGAAAAUAGGUGAGUACGCAUUUUGUGACUCCAAAAUCCGUAGUCCUCUCCAUCAAAGUGAGGAGGCUUGCCAAGUGGAAUGGGGAGCAAAUGAGCAUUUGAGCUAUAUGGAAUGCGCGAAUAAUCAAAAGAAAAGUUUGAGUUAACCGUCUUUUGUUUGUCGUGGUCGUCGUCCUUUUGGGAAGAAGAGGACUCAUCGCUGUCGUAGUAGACGAUCUCCUUGAUGCGUCUUGUCUUCUUCUUCUUCCCAUCUUUUCGCUUGUGGCCCGAGCCCGAGUCAUUGGACUUGUCAUCCCUUGGCUCGUUGACGAAGGAUUCCUUCUCCUUGUCGUUGAUCACAAUUCCCUUCCCCUUAGGAUCCAUCUCUUCGGGCGGUUAGUCCCUUUCUUGAAGAGAACGGCUCUGAUACCAAUUGAGAGCACCUAGAGGGGGGUGAAUAGGUGAUCCUGUAAAACUUCAAAACUUAAGCCACAAAAACUUGUUAAGUGUUAGCACAAGUAUGGCCAAGUGGCUAGAGAGGAGUCAAAACACAAUAACCACAAGAAAUCAAUCACAGAGAUGACACGGUGGUUAUCCCGUGGUUUGGCCAAGUACAAAAACUUGCCUACUCCACGUUGUGGCGUCCCAACGGACGAGAGUUGCACUCAACUCCUCUCAAGUGAUCCAAUGAUCAACUUGAAUACCACGGUGUUCUUGCUUUUCUUUUCUCAAUCCCGUUUGCGAGGAAUCUCCACAACUUGGAGCCUCUCGCCCUUACAAAAGAUGUUCACAGAGAAUCACGGAGCAAGGGAGGGAUUAGCAACGCACACAAGACUUCAAAAGAUCAGAGCAACACGCACACAAGCAGCAAUAAGAGCUCGCAACACAACUCAAAGAGUACACAACUCCACAAGAGCUCUAUAUGCUAUCACAAUGAAUCGAAUGCGCUAGAUCAAUGUCUUGGUGCUUAGAAAGGUUGUCGGAAUGCUUGGUGUACUCCUCCAUGCGCCAAGGGGUCCCUUUUAUAGCCCCAAGGCAGCUAGGAGCCGUUGGGAACAAAUCUGGAAGGCCAUCUUUGCCUUCUGUCUCGUGGCGCACCGGACAGUCCGGUGCACACCGGACACUGUCCGGUGCCCGAUUUGUUUCCUUAAACAGCUCAUCCGACCGUUGCUGUCUGAGUCAGAUCUGCGCACCGUUGGCGCACCGGACAUGUCCGGUGCACACCGGACAGUCCGGUGUAUCUUUCCGACCGUUGGCUCGGCCACGUGUCGCGCGCCGAUCGCGCGGCCGACCGUUGGCCCGGCCGACCGUUGGCUCACCGGACAGUCCGGUGCACACCGGACAGUCCGGUGAAUUUUAGCCGAAGUCGCCGGAGAAAAACCCGAGAGCGGCCUCUUCGGCCGAGGCAGCCUGGCGCACCGGACACUGUCCGGUGCACCACCGGACAGUCCGGUGCCCCAGACCGAAACAGCCCCUUGGCUGCACACAGCCAAGUCUUCUCUUCUCUUCUUCUUUCUGUUUCUAACACUUAGACAAAUAUAUUAGUACACAGAACCAAUGUACUAAGACUUAGAAACAUACCUUUGCUCUAGAUUGGCACUUUGUUCAUCCAUUGGCAUUGAUUCACAUUUAAGCACUUGUGUUGACAUUCAAUCACCAAAAUACUUAGAAAUGGCCCAAGGGCACAUUUCCCUUUCAACUGUCCGGUGGCGCACCGGACUGUCCGGUGCGCCACCCGACAGAAGGCAAGAUUAGCCUUCCAAAGUUGCCUCCAACGGCUCCUAGCUGCCUUGGGGCUAUAAAAGGGACCCCUAGGCGCAUGGAGGAGUUAUCCAAGCAUUCUUUGAUCAUUCCUAAGCAUCUAGACUCCACUCCUACGCAUUUGAUUCUCUAUGCUAGCAAUUUGAGCUCCUCUUGAGUUGAGAACUCCAUGUGUUGAACUUAGAGCUCAAGUUGUGACUUGUGUGCGUGAUUGUGCUCUCGUUUUGAGUCUUGUGUGCGUUUCUCUCCCCUCCCUUACUUCCGUGCUUCUUUGUGAUCAUCAAUUGUAAGGGCGAGAGGCUCCAAGUUGUGGAGAUUCCUCGCAAACAGGAGAAAGUAUAAGAAAGAAGAACACCGUGGUAUUCAAGUUGAUCAUUGGAUCACUUGAAAGGGGUUGAGUGCAACCCUCGUCCAUUGGGACGCCACAACAUGGAAGUAGGCAAGUAUUACUUGGCCGAACCACGGGAUAACUCGCGUGUCUCUUGUGAUUGCUUUUCUGUGUGAUUAUUGUGAUUCGCAAGAGCUUGCUCUAUAGCCACUUGGUUUUAUCAUUCUAACACUUAACCAAGUUUUGUGGCUAUUAGUUGUUGAAUUUUACAGGAUCACCUAUUCACCCCCCCUCUAGGUGCUCUCAAUUGGUAUCAGAGCCGUUCUCUUCACAAAAGGGACUAAUCGCCCGAAGAGAUGGAUUCUAAGGGAAAGGGGAUGGUGGUCAAUGAUAAGGAGAAGGAGUCCAUCUUCAACGAGCCGAGGGACGACAAACCCACUGACUCUGGCUCGAGUCAUAAGAAGAAGGACGAGAAGAAGAAGAGGCGCAUCAAGAAGAUCGUCUACUACGACAGCGACGAGUCUUCUUCUUCCCCGAGAGACGACGACUACGACGAGAAAAAGAAACCGGUUAACUCAAAUUUUUCAUUUGAUUAUUCUUGUAUUCCGUAUAAUUCCAAUGCCCAUUUGCUUUCAAUUCCUCUUGGUAAACCUCCACACUUUGAUGGAGAGGACUACGCUUUUUGGAGUCAUAAAAUGCGUAGUCACCUCUUCUCUCUCCAUCCUAGUAUUUGGGAGAUAGUUGAGAAUGGAAUGCAAUUUGAUAGUACGGAUAACCAUGUCUUCAUUAACGAACAAAUUCAUAAGAAUGCACAAGCUACCACUAUUUUGUUAGCAUCGUUGUGCAGGGAUGAAUAUAAAAAGGUGAGAGGCUUGGACAACGCCAAGCAAAUAUGGGACACCCUCAAGAUAUUGCAUGAGGGGAAUGACGCCACCAUGAUCACCAAAAUGGAGUUGGUGGAAGGCGAGCUGGGAAGGUUCGCGAUGAUCAGGGGGGAGGAGCCAACACAAACUUACAACAGGCUCAAGACCCUGGUCAACAAGAUCAGGAGUUAUGGAAGCACGAGAUGGAUGGACCACGACGUCGUCCGACUUAUGCUCAGGUCUUUCACUGUUAUUGACCCUCACCUUGUGAAUCUCAUACGUGAAAAUCCCAGGUACACAAAGAUGACGCCCGAGGAGAUACUCAGAAAGUUUGUUAGUGGGCGUAUGAUGGUCAAGGAAGCAAGAUAUGUUGAUGAUGCAUUGAACGGCCCAAUGCCCAUCUAUGAGCCCCAGCCCAUUGCACUCAAGGCAACAAGCAGCAGCAGGGAGACGCUACCUAGCAAGGUGGCACAAGUUGAAGCUGCCGGGCUAAACGAAGAUGAGAUGGCCCUCAUCAUCAAGCGCUUCAAGACGGCGCUAAAAGGACGCAAGGAGCAUCCCAACAAGAGCAAAGCAAAGGGAAAGCGCUCCUGUUUUAAAUGUGGUAAGACUGGUCAUUUCAUAGCAAAUUGUCCCGAUAAUGCUAAUGAUCAGGAACAAGAAAAGAGCGGGAAGAGGGAGAAGAAGAAGGCCUACAAGAAAGCGAAGGGCGAGGCGCACCUUGGCAAAGAGUGGGAUUCGGAUUGCUCUUCAUCCGACUCCGACGAUGAAGGACUCACCGCCUCUGCCUUCAACAAGUCAUCUCUCUUCCCCAACGAGCGCCAUACUUGCCUCAUAGCAAAGGAGAAAAAGGAUAGCGCUCGAGAUACCCCUAAGUAUACUACUUCAAGUGAUGAUGACUCUAGUGAUGAUGAAGUAGAUUACUCAAGCUUGUUCAAAGGUUUAGAUAGAACUAAAAUAGAUAAAAUCAAUGAAUUGAUUGAUGCUUUAAAUGAAAAGAAUAGAUUGUUAGAGAAACAAGAAGAUAUUUUAUAUGAAGAGCAUGACAAGUUUAUUAGUGUGCAAAAAUCUCUUGCUUUAGAGGUUAAAAGGAAUGAAAUGCUUUCUUCUGAAUUAUCUGCUUGUCAUGAAACUGUGUCUAGCUUAAAGAGUAUUAAUGAUGAUUUAAAUGCUAAGCUAGAAGUAGUUAAUAAAUCUAGUUCUUGUGUAGAGCAUGUUGUCAUUUGUAAUAGGUGUAAGGAUUUGAUGUUGAUGCAUGUGUUGAGCACCUUACUUCUAUUACAAAAUUAAAUGGUGAAGUGGCUAGUCUUAAUGCCUAACUUAAGACUUGCAAAAAUGAUUUUGAUAAGUUAAAAUUUGCUAGGGAUGCCUACACCGUUGGUAGACAUCCCUCAAUUAAGGACGGACUUGGCUUUCGAAAGGAAGCCAAGAACUUAACAAGUCAAAGGGCUCCCAUUUCCAACAAGGAGAAAGGGAAGGCCCCUAUGGCUAGUAUUAGUCAAAAGAAUCAUGCUUUCAUGUACCAUGAUAGAAAAUUUUCUAGAAAUUCUCACUAUAAUAGGAGUUAUAAUGCUUUUGACUCACAUGCCAUGAUUGCUUCAUGUUCUAAUUUCAAUGGUAGGCCUAGGAGAAAUUUUGUGUCUCGUGCUCCUAGGAAAGUGUGUAAUAAACCUACCACUGUCUUUCAUGCUUGCAACACUACAUUUGUACUCUUAGGUAAAAACGAAAAAGUGGUUGCUAGAAAGUUGGGGGUCAAAUGCAAGGGAGACAAGACUUGUAUUUGGGUCCCAAAGACUAUUGUAACUAACCUUGUAGGACCCAACAAGAGUUGGGUACCUAAAACCCAAGCCUAAUUUGCCUUGCAGGUUUAUGCAUCCGGGGCUCAAGCUGGAUUAUCGACAGCGGAUGCACAAACCACAUGACGGGGGAGAAGAAGAUGUUCACCUCCUACGUCAAGAAUAAAGAUUCCCAAGAUUCGAUCAUCUUUGGAGAUGGGAACCAAGGCAAGGUUAAAGGACUAGGAAAGAUAGCCAUUUCAUCCGAGCAUUCCAUAUCUAAUGUGUUUUUAGUUGAAUCGCUCGGGUAUAAUUUAUUAUCUGUCAGUCAACUAUGUAAUAUGGAAUAUAAUUGUUUAUUUACCAAUGUAGAUGUGUCUGUCUUUAGAAGGAGUGAUGGUUCAUUAGCUUUUAAGGGUGUACUAGACGGCAAACUCUACUUAAUUGAUUUUUCGAAAGAGGAGGCCGAUCUAGAUGCAUGCUUAAUUGCUAAGACUAGCAUGGGCUGGCUGUGGCAUCGCCGUCUAGCACAUGUUGGGAUGAAGAACCUUCAUAAACUUCUAAAGGGAGAACAUGUGUUAGGUCUAACCAAUGUAUUUUUCGAAAAAGAUAGACCUUGUGCAGCUUGUCAAGUAGGUAAACAAGUGGGAAGCGCUCAUCACAGCAAGAAUGUGAUAACCACAUCAAGACCUCUGGAGCUACUUCAUAUGGAUCUCUUCGGACCCGUUGCCUACCUUAGCAUCGAGGGAAGUAAGUAUGGUCUUGUUAUUGUUGAUGAUUUUUCCCGCUUCACUUGGGUAUUCUUUUUGCAGGUUAAAUCAGAAACCCAAGGGACCCUAAAGCGCUUUCUAAGGAGAGCUCAAAACGAAUUUGAGCUCAAGGUGAAAAAGAUAAGAAGCGACAAUGGGUCUGAGUUCAAGAACUUACAAGUGGAGGAGUACCUUGAGGAGGAAGGAAUCAAGCACGAGUUCUCUGCUCCCUACACACCACAGCAAAACGGUGUGGUAGAGAGGAAGAACAGGACACUUAUAGACAUGGUGAGGACGAUGCUUGGAGAAUUUAAGACGCCCGAGCGUUUUUGGUCGGAAGCUGUGAAUACAGCUUGCCACGCCAUAAAUCGGGUCUACCUUCAUCACCUCCUCAAGAAGACCUCGUAUGAACUUCUAACCGGUAACAAACCCAAUGUUUCAUACUUUCGUGUAUUUGGGAGUAAAUGUUAUAUUCUAGUAAAGAAAGGUAGAAGUUCCAAAUUUGCUCCCAAAGCUGUAGAAGGGUUUUUUGUUAGGUUAUGACUCAAAUACAAAGGCGUAUAGAGUCUUCAACAAAUCAUCGGGUUUGGUUGAAGUCUCUAGCGACGUUGUAUUUGAUGAAACUAAUGGCUCUCCAAGAGAGCAAGUUGAUCUUGAUGAUGUAGAUGAAGAUGAUGUUCCAACGGACGUAAUUCGCACCAUGGCAAUUGGAGAUGUGCGACCACAAGAACACCAAGAGCAAGAUCAACCUUCUUCCUCAACGAUGGUGCAUCCCCCAACUCAAGAUGAUGAACAGGUUCCUCAAGAAGAGGCGUGUGAUCAAGGGGGAGCACAAGAAGACCAUGUUGUGGAGGAAGAAGCACCACGGGGCCCUCCAACUCAAGUCCGAGUGACGAUUCAAAGGAAUCAUCCCGUCGACCAGAUUUUGGGUGAUAUAAGCAAGGGAGUAACCACUCGCUCAAGAUUAGCUAACUUUUCUGAGCAUUACUCGUUUGUCUCUUCUAUUGAGCCUUUCAGGGUAGAAGAGGCCUUGCUAGAUCCGGAUUGGGUGUUGGCCAUGUAGGAAGAGCUCAACAACUUCAAGCGAAAUGAAGUUUGGACCCUAGUGCCACAUCCCAAGCAAAACGUUGUGGGAACCAAGUGGGUGUUCCGCAACAAGCAAGACGAGCACGGGGUGGUGACACGAAACAAGGCUUGACUUGUGGCAAAAGGUUAUGCCCAAGUCGCAGGUUUGGAUUUCGAGGAGACUUUUGCUCCUGUGGCUAGGCUAGAGUCUAUUCGCAUUCUAUUAGCCUAUGCUGCUCACCCCUCUUUUAGGUUGUUCCAAAUGGAUGUGAAGAGCGCUUUCCUCAACGGGCCAAUCAAGGAGGAGGUGUACGUGGAGCAACCCCCUGGCUUUGAGGAUGAACGGUACCCCGACCAUGUGUGUAAGCUCUUUAAGGUGCUCUAUGGACAUAAGCAAGCCCCAAGAGCAUGGUAUGAAUGCCUUAGAGAUUUCCUAAUUGCUAAUGCUUUCAAGGUUGGGAAAGCCGAUUCAACUCUUUUCACUAAGACUUGUGAUGGUGACCUAUUUGUGUGCCAAAUUUAUGUCGAUGACAUAAUAUUUGGUUCUACUAACCAAAAGUCUUGUGAGGAGUUUAGCAGGGUGAUGACACAGAAAUUUGAGAUGUCGAUGAUGGGCGAGUUGAACUACUUCCUUGGGUUCCAAGUGAAGCAACUCAAGGAUGGCACCUUCAUCUCCCAAAUGAAGUACUCGCAAGACUUGCUCAAGCGGUUCGGGAUGAAGGACACCAAGCCCGCAAAGACACCAAUGGGAACCGACGGACAUGUCGACCUCAACAAAGGAGGUAAGUCCGUUGAUCAAAAGGCAUACCGGUCUAUGAUAGGUUCUUUGCUUUAUUUAUGUGCUAGUAGACUGGAUAUUAUGCUUAGCGUUUGCAUGUGUGCUAGAUAUCAAUCCGACCCAAGGGAAUGUCACCUUAGGGCCGUUAAGAGGAUUCUUAGAUAUUUAGUUGCUACGCCUUGCUUCGGGAUCUGGUAUCCAAAGGGGUCUACCUUUGACUUGAUUGGAUAUUCAGACUCCGAUUAUGCCGGGUGCAAGGUUGAUAGGAAGAGUACAUCAGGGACGUGCCAAUUACUAGGAAGGUCCCUGGUGUCUUGGAGCUCAAAGAAACAAACUUCUGUUGCCCUAUCCACCGCUGAGGCCGAGUAUGUUGCCGCAGGACAGUGUUGCGCGCAACUACUUUAGAUGAGGCAAACCCUCCGGGACUUUGGCUACAAUCUGAUCAAAGUCCCACUCCUAUGUGAUAAUGAGAGUGCAAUCCGCAUGGUGGAUAAUCCUGUUGAACACAGCCGCACUAAGCACAUAGACAUCUGGCAUCACUUCCUGAGAGACCACCAACAAAAGGGGAUAUCGAGGUGUACCAUAUUAACACCGAGAACCAGCUAGUCGAUAUCUUCACCAAGCCUUUAGAUGAGAAAAGGUUUUGCAGGUUGCGUAGUGAGCUAAAUGUCUUAGAUUCACGUAACUUGGAUUGAUCUAUAGCAUACAUGUGGUUUAUGCCUUUGAUCAUGUAAUUUAUGCAUUUCAAUCUAUUCUUGUUCAUUUGUGGUGCUCAAGUUGUAAACAUGAUCCCCGGACCUCACAAGUCCAUUUGCAAGUGAUGCACUUAUUUAGGGGAAGGCAUGCUACAACUUGACACUUUGAGACUAACCUUUGUGUUUGAGUUCUUGAUUUAGUCUCAAAACUGGAUUGAAAGGGAAAGGUGAACUUGGACCAUGCAAAGACUUCCACUGCACUCCGGUAUUAACUCCAAGUUCAUAUCUAUGCUCUUAUUGCCUUUUUGCUUGUAAUUGACAAUUUUGGUGAGGCAAUGGGGUUAAAGGGCCAAGAAUGAUCCCGUUUUGGUGCUUAAUGCCAAAGGGGGAGAAAUUAAGGCCAAAGCAAAUGGAUCAGCUACCACUUGUGAAAUUUCGAAAAGAGUAGAGUAAGAACUUUUUGAUUUGUCAAAAUACUCUUAUUGUCUCUUAUUGUCAAAAGUUGGUCUCUUGUGGGGAGAAUGUUUGAUUAUGGGAAAAGGGGGAGUUUUGGAUCUUUGAUCAAUUUCACUCUUGGAAUAUCUCUCUUUAUGCCUAAACAAGUGUGUUUGACUUAGAGAUAGGAAAUUGACUUUGAUUUGCAAUUCUUGUUCUCAAUUGCAUUAAAGUUGCACUUCUUCUAGUUGCUUUUUGAUGUGUUUGCAUAAACCACCAAAAAGGGGGAGAUUGAAAGGGAAAUGUGUCCUUGGGCCAUUUCUAAAGUGUUUUGGUGAUUAAGUGCCCAACACAUUUUCUCUUUGUGCUAAUUCGUGCCAAAGAGUGAAGAAAUGCAAAUCAUAUUACAAGGUAUGUUUCUAUACUUAGUACAUUGAUUUGAGUACUAAUGUAUUGUGUCUAAGUGCUAGAAACGGGAGAAAUUGGUUUGGAAAAGAGUUGGCUGUGUACAGCCAACUGCAGCUCGGUCUGGGUGCACUGGACUGUCCGGUGGUGCACCGGACAGUGUCCGGUGCGCCAGACCAGUCUCGGUGAACAGGCCACUCUCAGGACUCGACGACGGCGUAUGGCUAUAAUUCAUCGGACUGUCCGGUGAGUCGUCUGCGGCGAAGUUGUCGCUCUCGGGAAAUGUUCAACGGCGUACGGCUAAAAUUCACCGGACUAUCCGGUGGUGCACCGGACUGUCCGGUGAGCCAACGGUCGACUGCUCAAACGGUCGGCCGCGCAAUCCGCGCGCGACGCGUGGGCGCGCCAACGGUCGGUAGGGGGCACCGGACAGUGUCUGGUGUGCCAACUGCCGCAAAUCUGCAAUGGUCGGAUGCGCCAGAAAAGGAAGGAGAUCGCGCAUCGGACAACUACAGGGAUUGUCCGGUGGCGCACCGGACUGUCCGGUGCGCCACCCGAUAGAAGGCAAGAUUAGCCUUCCAAAGUUGCCUCCAACGGCUCCUAGCUGCCUUGGGGCUAUAAAAGGGACCCCUAGGCGCAUGGAGGAGUUAUUUAAGCAUUCUUUGAUCAUUCCUAAGCAUCCAGACUCCACUCCCAUGCAUUUGAUUCUCUGUGCUAGCAAUUUGAGCUCCUCUUGAGUUGAGAACUUCGUGUGUUGAACUUAGAGCUCAAGUUGUGACUUGUGUGUGUGAUUGUGCUCUCGUUUUGAGUCUUGUGUGCGUUGCUCUCCCCUCCCUUACUUCCGUGCUUCUUUGUGAUCAUCAAUUGUAAGGGCGAGAGGCUCCAAGUUGUGGAGAUUCCUCGCAAACGGGAGAAAGUAUAAGAAAGAAGAACACCGUGGUAUUCAAGUUGAUCAUUGGAUCACUUGAAAGGGGUUGAGUGCAACCCUCGUCCAUUGGGACGCCACAACGUGGAAGUAGGCAAGUAUUACUUGGCCGAACCACGGGAUAACUCGCGUGUCUCUUGUGAUUGCUUUUCUGUGUGAUUAUUGUGAUUUGCAAGAGCUCACUCUAUAGCCACUUGGUUUUAUCAUUCUAACACUUAACCAAAUUUUGUGGCUAUUAGUUGUUGAAUUUUACAGGAUCACCUAUUCACCCCCCUCUAGGUGCUCUCAAGUGUCAUGCCUACAUCUAUGAUAGAAAAUAUUCUACGAAUGCUCAUAGGAGUUAUGAUCAUGAUGCUUUUGAUUCACAUGCUAUGUUUGCCUCUAGCUCUACUUUUGUGCAUGGUAGAAGUAGGCCUAGGAGAAAUCAUGUUGUGCAUCAUGUGCCUAGGAGAGUAUGUAAUGAACCUUCUACCAUUUACCUUGCUUGCAAUACUUCAUUUGUGCACUUAUGUAAGAAUGAAAAAGUAGUUGCUAGAAAGUUGGGAUCCAAAUGCAAGGGAGACAAGACUUGUAUUUGGUUCCAAAGGAUAUUGUGACUAACCUUGUAGGACCCAACAAGAGUUGGGUACCUAAAACCCAAGUGUAAAUUGCCUUGCAGGUUUAUGCAUCCGGGGGCUCAAGCUGGAUUAUCGACAACGGAUGCACAAACCACAUGAUGGGGGAGAAGAAGAUGUUCACCUCCUACGUCAAGAAAAAGGAUUCCUAGGAUUCGAUCAUCUUUGGAGAUGGGAACCAAGGCAAGGUUAAAGGAUUGGGAAAGAUAGCCAUUUCAUCUGAGCAUUCUAUAUCCAAUGUGUUCUUAGUUGAAUCGCUCGGGUACAACUUAUUGUCUGUGAGUCAAUUAUGUAACAUGGGUUAUAAUUGUCUAUUUACCAAUAUAGAUGUAUCUGUCUUUAGAAGGAGUGAUGGUUCAUUAGCGUUUAAGGGUGUACUAGAUUGCAAAUUCUACUUAGUUGAUUUUUCGAAAGAGGAGGCCGAUCUAGAUGCAUGCUUAAUAGCUAAGACUAGCAUAGGCUGGUUGUGGCAUCGCCGUCUAGCACAUGUUGGGAUGAAGAACCUUCAUAAACUUCUAAAGGGAGAACAUGUGUUAGGACUAACCAAUGUCUGCUUCGAGAAAGAUAGACCUUGUGCAGCUUGUCAGGCAGGGAAAUAGGUGGGAAGCACUUAUCACAACAAGAAUGUGAUGACAACAUCAAGACCACUAGAGCUUCUUCACAUGGACCUCUUCGGACCCGUUGCCUACCUUAGCAUCAGGGGAAGUAAGUAUGGUCUAGUAAUUGUUGAUGAUUUUUCCCGCUUCACUUGGGUGUUCUUUUUGCAGGAUAAAUCAGAAACCCAAGGGACCCUAAAGCGCUUUCUAAGGAGGGCUCAAAACGAAUUUGAGCUCAAGGUGAAAAAGAUAAGAAGCGACAACGGGUCCAAGUUCAAGAAUCUGCAAGUGGAGGAGUAUCUUGAGGAGGAAGGCAUCACGCACGAGUUCUCCGCUCCCUACACACCACAGCAAAAUGGUGUGGUAGAGAGGAAGAACAGGACACUUAUCGACAUGGCGAGGACGAUGCUUGGAGAGUUCAAGACACCCGAGAGGUUUUGGUCGGAAGCUGUGAACACAGCUUGCCACACCAUAAACUGGCUAUAUCUGCAUCGCCUUCUCAAGAAGACCUCGUAUGAACUCCUUACCGGUAACAAACCCAACGUUUCUUACUUUCGUGUAUUUGGGAGCAAAUGCUACAUUUUGGUGAAGAAAGGUAGACAUUCUAAAUUUGCUCCCAAAGCUGUAGAAGGGUUUUUACUAGGGUAUGACUCAAAUACAAAGGCGUAUAGGGUCUUCAACAAAUCAUCGGGUUUGGUUGAAGUCUCUAGCGACGUUGUAUUUGAUGAGACUAAUGGCUCACCAAGAGAGCAAGUUGAUCUUGAUGACAUAGAUGAAGAUGAUGUUCCAACGGCCGCAAUGCGCAUGAUGGCGAUUGGAGAUGUAUGACCACAGGAACAACAGGAGCAAGAUCAGCCUUCUUCCUCAAUAAUGGUGCAUCCCCCAACUCAAGAUGAUGGACAGGUUCCUCAAGAAGAAGCACGUGAUCAAGGGGGAGCACAAGAAGAACAAGUUAUGGAAGAAGAAGCACCACUGGCCCCUCCAACUCAAGUCCGAGCCACGAUCCAAAGAAAUCACCCCGUCGAACAGAUUCUAGGUGACAUAAGCAAGGGAGUAACAACUCGCUCACGUUUAGCUAAUUUUUGUGAGCAUUACUCGUUUGUCUCUUCUAUUGAGCCUUUCAGGGUAGAAGAGGCCUUGCAGGAUCCGGAGUGGGUGCUGGACAUGCAGGAAGAGCUCAACAACUUCAAGAGGAAUGAAGUUUGCAGCCUGGUGCCAUGUCCCAAGCAAAAUGUUGUGGGAACCAAGUGGGUGUUCCGCAACAAGCAAGACGAGCACGGGGUGGUGACAUGAAACAAGGCUCGACUUGUGGCAAAAGGUUAUGCCCAAGUCACAGGUUUGGAUUUUGAGGAUACUUUUGCUCCUGUGGCUAGGCUAGAGUCUAUUCGAAUAUUAUUAGCCUAUGCCGCUCACCACUCUUUCAGGUUGUUUCAUGAAAAUGUGAAGAGCGCUUUCCUCAACGGGCCAAUCAAGGAGGAGGUGUAUGUGGAACAACCCCUUGUCUUUGAGGAUGACAGGUAUCCCGACCAUGUAUUUAAGCUCUCUAAGGCGCUCUAUGGACUUAAGCAAGCCCCAAGAGCAUGGUAUGAAUGCCAUAGAGACUUCUUAAUUGCUAAUGCUUUCAAGGUUGGGAAAGCCGAUCCCACUCUUUUCACUAAGUCUUGUGAGGAGUUUAGCAGGGUGAUGACUCAAAAGUUUGAGAUGUCGAUGAUGGGCGAGUUGAACUACUUCCUUGAGAUGUCAAAAGUACACUCAAGAUGUUCUCAAAAGGUUUGGGAUGAAGGACGCCAAGCCCGUGAAGACACCGAUGGGAAGCGACGGGCAUGUCGACCUCAACAAAGGAGGUAAGUCCGUUGAUCAAAAGGCAUACCGGUCUGAAAGGGAAAUAGGGUCAAACCUUUUCCAAUAUGAAUUUUGGUGGUUGAAUUGCCCAACACAAAUUAUUGGACUAACUAGUUUGCUCUAGAGUGUAUGUUCUACAGGUGCCAAAGGUUCAACUCAAAACCAAUACAAAGAUCAAAAAGGGUUCAAAAAGAAAGAAGCAAAGGAAACUGAAGCGCUCCCUGGUCUGGCGCACCGAACUGUCCGGUGUGCCACCGGACAGUGUCCGGUGCACCAGGGAGGAUCGACUUCAAACUCUUCACCUUCAGGUUUCCCAGGCGCACCUCCGCUAUAAUUCACCGGACUGUCCGGUGUGCCACCGGACUGUCCGGUGAGCCAGCGGAGCAACGGUCGACUCUACAAAGCAAACAGUGCAAAUCAGAUGUCAGAGCAGACGGUUAGAGGGGCACUGGACUGUCCGGUGUCGCACCGGACUGUCCGGUGCCACAUGAGGACAAAGCCUCCAAUGGUCGACCAGCUCCAACCCUAACGAAGAGGAUGACGUGGCGGCGCACCGGACACUGUCUAAUGGCGCACCAGACACUGUCCGGUGCGCCCAUCGCCAGCAGCCUUCUCCAACGGCUACAUUUUGGUUGGUGGCUAUAAAUACCACCCCAACCGGCCACUUCAAAGUGGGGGAGCCCAAGCAACAUUCCAAGUCAUCCAGUUGACAUACUCAAGCCCUCCCAACCACACAUAUUCAUUGAUCCAUCCUAUACACAAGAUCUAGACCACUACAACCAACACAAGUGCCACAAAGGAGAGAGCAAGCAAAAGAAAGCCUCUCGUGUGAGUUUAGCUCUAGUGCCUUGUGAGAUUCUUUGAGAGAAAGUGUGUGCUACAUCUUGCGUUCAUUUGCGCGUGGAGUUUUGACUCCCAUUGAACUUCCUCCAAAGUUUUGGAGGCUUGUAAAGCUAGCAAGAGACACCAAAGUGUGUGGUGGUCCUUGUGGGGUCUUAAGUGAUCCUUGAGAAGAAGAAGAGCUCGCCGGUCUUGCGUGAUCGGUGGAGAGAGGGAAAGGGUUGAAAGAGACCCGUCCUUAGUGGACUCCUCAACGGGGACUAGGCCUUCGAGGGCCGAACCUCGGUAAAACAAAUCACCUGUGUCUCGUGUGCUUAUUGCUUGUGAUUUGUUUGUUCUUUCCCUUUCCAAGUUCUUCUUGCACUAUUCGUUGCUAAUACUAUUUGGUGGUUCUUCAAGUAGCAUUCUCAUUUGGUGGAGCAACAUUUUGCAAGAAAGAACUUCUGUUAUUGCUUUUCUUAUCUAAGCCCUCUUGCUUUAUUCUCAUAGACUUAUUAGUAGUAUUGAUUUAUCAAUUUCGCAUUAUUUAGUCAUACUCUUUACAAGCAAAGGACUAAGUUCUCAUACUCCGAUAAUUGUGUAUCUUGUUCUAACCACUAAUCAAAGGAUCUAGUUGGGGGAUAAAUUUUUAAUUUUCAGGUUUCGCCUAUCCACCCCCCCUCUAGGCGACUUUUAAUUGGUAUCAAAGCUAGGCACUUCAUCUUGAGUCUAACAACUCGAAGUGAUGGCACAUAGAAGAUCCCAAAAGAACAAGAAGACCCAAGAGAACAAGGAGGUAACUCUUGAGAUAUUACUUUCCGAUUGUUCUAAUUAUGAUUCAUGGUCUACUAGGGUGAUAAAUGCUUUUAGAACCAUAGAUCCACAAUUAGAACAAAUUUUAGACAAGAGUAUUAUUCCUCCUAGUUAUGAUAGAAAAAAUGCCUCCGAGGAAGAUCAAAGAUGUAUUCGCUUAAACUACCUAGCUUAUGACAUCUUAAGUAGUUCUCUUAGCAAAGAAGAUUAUCAUGCCUUCAUAAUGAAUUAUGAUGAAUCUAUUCGUGAUGCGCAUGAUAUUUGGACUAGAAUUAAAAGCAAAUUUGAUGAGUCCAAACAUGAUAGUUCAUUUUUUGCCUCUACUUCCUUUGGUAUUUGUGAAACUAACCCUUUGAAGGAAGAAGAAGAAAAUGAACGAUGGAGACCAAACGAUGAAUCCACCUCUCCAAAAUGUUUGUCUUCCCAUUUCGAUUCCCACAUAUGUCGUGUGGCUAAUGAAAAUGAUAGCAGAAGCACAAAUGAGGAUGAGGUGGAAGAAAGAAGCUUCAUGCAACUCUAUGCUCACCUAAGCCAAGAAGAUAAGGCGGUCAUGCUCAAACUUCUAGAAAGAGCGAGAGAGCAAAGCAAAGCUCGUCAAAGGCUAGAAAGUGUUCUCUCCAUGAAAAUGCUACACUUUGACGAGUUGACGAAAGAACAUGAGGAGCUAAAGUGCUCUCAUGUUGAUUUGGUCCAAAGGUAUGAAACUAUUUCAAUUGAGCAAGAUAACGCUUUACAUUGUAUCGCUCAAUUAGUAAAUAGGAAUGCCUUGCUUAAGGAUCAAGUGGAAAAGCUUAAAGAUGAAAAUCUAGCUUUUCAAGAAAAAUAUGAUAUGCUCCUAUGUUCUCAUGAAAAUCUUAUGGAUGAUCAUAUCAUAUUAAAUAUUGCUCAUGAGGUUGUGAUAGAAAACUUAAAAUCCCAACAACCUCACUCUUGCACAUAUAUUCAAAUUGAAACUACAUUACCAUGUGCUAAUGCUCAUUGUCCAUCGACAAGCAAAUCUUCUUUUGAGCUAGAAUGUGCAGGAACAAACGAUGAUACAUAUCAAAAGCUCAAAGAAGAAAAUGAGAGGCUAAAAAUGAGCUUGACACAACUAAAAGGGAAGUGCAUUGCUCAACCUUCUCAAGAUAACCGUGAUCACAUGGUGAAGAAGCUUGAGACGGGAACAACCGUGGCAUGCACUAAAUCCCUUGAAGAAAAUGUCAAGGACUUAAGGAUUGUCAAGAGGAAGGAACAAAAGAAGAAAAUCAAUACCUCUUCCAAAAGCCUCAACCACGCCUCCAUAAAAGGUAACAUCCAAGGUAAUAAUCAAGUCACACUUCACACUAAGAGAAGUAAGAAGUGUAGUGAAUGCUUUGAAAAAGGGCACUCAAUUAGGUCAUGUCCCUAUAUUAAAAAUGACUUGAUUAUUAACAAGGAUGAUAAAAUUUGUUUUAAAUGCUCUAAGAAGGGACACUUUUUUAGAACUUGUCCCCAUUUAAAACAAAAAGGCAUAAUGUUAGAAAAGAAAAUAUUCACUAACCAUGUAGCAAGCAAGAAACAAGGAAGGAAGAAAUCUUCAAGGCUCAAAGAUCGCCUAUGCUACAUAUGCCAAAAGAAGGGACAUCAAUGCAAAGAUUGUCCCAUUAGUAACACUUCCACUUCUAUCUUGUCAAUUAAUUCUCUUGUAACUAGGCAACCCAAAAUUGCAACUUGUGCUAGAAAGGUAAUAAGUUUACCUAGCGCUAACACAAAGGACUUUUGGGUUCCUAGAUCUUUGUUAACUAACUGUGAUGGACCCAUCAAGCGAUGGGUACCAAAAUAUGCUUGACAAGCUUUGCAGGAGAAGGAGAUGAUAUGAAGCUUUGGGGUGCUUGAGAAAGUUAAUUCAACUUAACUCAAGCUAUCAAUCUUCAAUGAUCUAUAUAUCCACAAUUGACCCAAAGUUAUUUCAAAUUGUUAUGUAUAAAACUCAUAUCAUCUCGAGGAAAAUAUUGAUGUUGUAGGAAAUAAAGAAUUAUCUUGUGCGGAAAAAUCAAGGCCUACAACAUGAAGGAAAGCCGAAGGACGGUAACACUUGUGUUUUUUAGUGCAAGUAUCUUAAACUAUGACUUCUCAUGUGCCUUGUGUAGUCGCAUAGGAAAAGAAGCACUUCAAAUGUCUCUAAAUCUAUAUUACCAUUCUUUGAAAAAUUUCCUCUCAUAUGGUAGAUUGCAUACUCAUCAUUUCCAUCCUAUGGCAAUCUACAUGCUUUAAAUUGUUGCAAGUAUCUCAUGGCAUGCUUUUCGCUAGUCAUUCUAUUAUUGCCAUGAUUCUAGAUGUAGAGAGAUAUUCCAAGUUCUUAAAAAGAAUAAGGUGUCAUGUAAGGAAUUCAAAUCCUUAGGACACUUAUAAAAGGAAAACUCUCUCUAUAACUAGAAUAGUGAGACUAAUGCUUUUGUCUAAGUAACCUAAGUAGUCUCACUUGUAGAGAAUAAGUUUCUAUUUGGAAGUACGUAAUCUAACAUAAAAGGAAAAAUCAAUCCAAUGAAUUAUGUUGUUGUGCUUCUUGCUUAAAUUGGAUAUGAUUCUUCUACAUUCAUCACUCUCCAUGUUAUGAAUUGGAUUUAUUCCCAUAAUCUUGAAGAAUUAACUAUGCUUGUUUUAUAAGUUAAAACUAAGCAUAUAUCAUGGAAUAAUCUAGUUCAUAUUAUGAAGUUUCCUUGCUUUAGUAAUCCACUUUUCAUUCCUUGUCAAAAUGAUUACAAAAAGGGAAACUUGUGCUUGUGUUACUAACCAUGUAUCUUUUGAGCUUACCUAUGGAAAUCUAUAAAAGAAAAAGUGCAUGUCUAAAGUCACAAGCCUCUAGGGUUACUCUUCACCCUAAGGAAGAAAGGUAAAAGCAAAGGUAUGGGAACUCCUUUUCCCAUCAAUGGUUAUUUACUCCAAAUUAUCUUAUUCUACCCAUGUGAAGAAUAGAUUCUUUAUUGGACUUAAUUUUUGCUAGGUGUACAUUCAAUCUCGUUCUCAUAAAUGCAUUAGUCCAUUAGAAUCUAUUUCAUGCCUUUGCUAUACUUGUUCUCAUAUUGAUUUCCUUCUAAGUAAUGAUUAAUAAAUUCAAUAUGAAGAAGUAAAUUUCUUAUGAUUGAUCAAAAUGUUUAAACAGUGCAUAUUCCUCUUUCCUAAUGAUCUGCACUAGUGUUAAGGAGUUUACUUCAAGUCUAUGUGACUUAUGGAUGAUGAAUUGUUUUUAUUUCCUAUCUAAAGAAAUCAUCCUUCGUCAUAUAUUCCCUUGUGCUAUUAACAUCUUUCUUGAGUAUUUUCAAUAAGUUUGAAAGGAAAAAAGAAACAACUACAAAAGGGAGGACACUCACAUGAAAGAGAAGGACAUCAAGAACAACACCACCUACUUCUACAAAACAAUCAAUGUUGUGGUUGUGAGUACUCUAAAUCAUUUUCAUUGUGAGAAUAUCAGGCAUAAGGUGUUCAUUGAAAAUCUUAUAAGCCUUGAUCAAGAUGUAUAAUGCUUCUCCCUACACGUCUCUAAAAUGAAUGCAUCUAUUCAUCUCAUUAAAAUUCUUUGAUGCAUAUCUCUAGGGGGAGCCUAUUUCUAUAUCUUGAUUAUGUUGAGACUAUCGCUUUAUCCUAGUAAUCUCUUAUAGUCUCUUGCAUGAGAAUAAGUUUCUCAUGAUGUAUGCUACUACAUAUCAAUCCAACUUGUUAAAAUAAUGUCGCUCUUAUCAAGGAUUGUAGCUUUCAUUGCUAAAGUAGCAUAUGUAAUGGAUUCUCCUAUUUUAAGCUUAUCUAAUGCAUGUGUUGUUCUUUUGAUCACAUCUGUUAUUUGUCUGAUCAUUGAAUAACUUCAAUUAACACUUAUGUCUCUUAGUGCCGCAUAUUCUAUCAAUCAACAUCUAUCGUGGUAUGCACUAAGUUAAAAGGAGAAUUCAUGAUACAUCUAUGCAAUUUGUGAUCCAUUUGAUAUAUGCUGACAAUGACAUAGAAAAGGAUCACUAGUUGUAGAACUCUCUCUUGUGCAAAAUAUUUCCAUAUAUUGUCUUGAGUAUAGGUCUUAAGCAUCUAAGACUAAGGACAAAGCACAAUGAAGAGAGCGUCUCUACGUAAAGGUACAAAAGGGUAAAACUACUUCAUCUCAUUUAUACAUGUACCUAAAUCUUCCUUGUAUAUACAUUCUUAGCAUAUCUUGUAUAAAAGGAAGAGAAAGCAUGUCCAAGCAUUAUCUCUGCUUCAUACCUAGUUUAACCACUCAAAAAUCUCAUUCAUGCGUUAGUGCAUCUUUGUUAAAACUUGGUGAAGUAAUUUUAUUGUCAAAAGGCUUAAAGCUUAACCUUGUAACGAAGAUAAGCUGCCUUUGUUCCAAAGGUGGAUGGUCCUUAAGCCUCUUGAAAUCCUUAAGGGAAAAUGCUUAAAAUGUUUACAACAUGCUUUCAUAAGUGCAUAAACUGUCAUGAGCAUCACACUUAUACUAUGACACAAUGCACUUCACAUUCUCUAUGAUAUAGAAUCGUUCUCAGUAACCUAUUUAUGUGCAAUUGGCAUUUAAGGCCAAAAUAUGUUUUCAUCUCAAUGCACAUAUCUAGGGGGAGCAAUCUAUGUUAUAUAGAACUAUGAUUAUGCUUAAUUUGAUAUAUCCUUUGAUCAUAUCUCUUUUAUGUCUAUGACUAAUGUGUUUUCAAGUGCUUAGUCAUAGAAUUGAAAGGGAAAUGGAGUAUUCGGCAAAGACGACGCUUCCACUCAACUCCUUCGGUAUUAUCCACUCUUUGUCGGUAUUCCGCAUGAUUCUUCACUUUGGUAUAAUCUUCACUCAUAUUUAAUUGUUUGCCAUUGGGGAGAAAGAAAACAUGGCUUAUAUUUCACUCAAGUAUCUGUUUUUGGCGAUUCAUGCCAAAGGGGCAGAAAGUAUUAGCCCAAAGCAAAAGGACCGCACCACCCACCAUGAUUUUUUUAAAAAAAACAAAAAAAAUGAAGUUUUCAAAUUAAUAUCUUAUUGUGUUCAAAAAGGGGGAGUAUCUUCAAAAAUUUGUAAAACCCUCUUGAACACUAAGAGAAGAAUUUCAUUGAGGGGGAGUUUUAUUUUAGUCAAAGGAAAAGCAUUUGAAACAGGGGGAGAAAAUCUCAAAUCUUGAAAAUGCUUCUUUUCAUUCUUACUCAUAUACCUUUGACUACUUGCAAAAUGUUUUUGAAAAAGAAUUUUAUAAAGAAUUUGCAAAAACAAAACUUAUGGUGCAAGCGUGGUCCAAAAUAUUAAUCAAGAAGAAAAGCAAACCAUGCAUAUCUAGCAAAAGAAAUAUUAUUGGUUUCAUUCCAAGUAACUUUUGCACUUACAUUAUGCAAACUAGUUCAAUUCUGCACAUUUAUAUUUGCUUUGGUUGUGUUGGCAUCAAUCACCAAAAAGGGGGAGAUUGAAAGGGAAAUAGGGUCAAACCUUUUCCAAUAUGAAUUUUGGUGGUUGAAUUGCCCAACACAAAUUAUUGGACUAACUAGUUUGCUCUAGAGUGUAUGUUCUACAGGUGCCAAAGGUUCAACUCAAAACCAAUACAAAGAUCAAAAAGGGUUCAAAAAGAAAGGAGCAAAGGAAACUGAAGUGCUCCCUGGUCUGGCGCACUGGACUGUCCGGUGUGCCACCGGACAGUGUCCGGUGCACCAGGGAGGAUCGACUUCAAACUCUUCACCUUCGGGUUUCCCAGGCACACCUCCGCUAUAAUUCACCGGGCUGCCCGGUGUGCCACCGGACUGUUCGGUGAGCCAGCGGAGCAACUGUCAUCUGCGCGCAAUGGUCGACUCUGCAAAGCAAACAGUGCAAAUCAGAUGUCAGAGCAGACGGUCAGAGGGGCACCGGACUGUCCGGUGUCGCACCGGACUGUCCGGUGCCACAUGAGGACAAAGCCUCCAACGGUCGACCAGCUCCAACCCUAACGAAGAGGAUGAUGUGGCGGCGCACCGAACACUGUCCGGUGGCGCACCGGACACUGUCUGGUGCGCCCAUCGCCAGCAGCCUUCUCCAACGGCUACAUUUUGGUUGGUGGCUAUAAAUACCACCCCAACCGGCCACUUCAAAGUGGGGGAGCCCAAGCAACAUUCCAAGUCAUCCAGUGGACAUACUCAAGCCCUUCCAACCACACAUAUUCAUUGAUCCAUCCUAUACACAAGAUCUAGACCACUACAACCAACACAAGUGCCACAAAGGAGAGAGCAAGCAAAAGAAAGCCUCUCGUGUGAGUUUAGCUCUAGUGCCUUGUGAGAUUCUUUGAGAGAAAGUGUGUGCUACAUCUUGCGUUCAUUUGCGCGUGGAGUUUUGACUCCCAUUGAACUUCCUCCAAAGUUUUGGAGGCUUGUAAAGCUAGCAAGAGACACCAAAGUGUGUGGUGGUCCUUGUGGGGUCUUAAGUGAUCCUUGAGAAGAAGAAGAGCUCGCCGGUCUUGCGUGAUCGGUGGAGAGAGGGAAAGGGUUGAAAGAGACCCAUCCUUAGUGGACUCCUCAACGGGUACUAGGCCUUCAAGGGCCGAACCUCAGUAAAACAAAUCACCCGUGUCUCGUGUGCUUAUUGCUUGUGAUUUGUUUGUUCUUUCCCUUUCCAAGUUCUUCUUGCACUAUUCGUUGCUAAUACUAUUUGGUGUUGCUUCAAGUAGCAUUCUCAUUUGGUGGAGCAACACCUUGCAAGAAAGAACUUGUGUUAUUGCUUUUCUUAUCUAAGCCCUCUUGCUUUAUUCUCAUAGACUUAUUAGUAGUAUUGAUUUAUCAAUUCCGCAUUAUUUAGUCAUACUCUUUACAAGCAAAGGACUAAGUUCUCAUACUCCGAUAAUUGUGUAUCUUGUUCUAACCACUAAUCAAAGGAUCUAGUUGGGGGAUAAAUUUUUAAUUUUCAGGUUUCGCCUAUCCACCCCCCCUCUAGGCGACUUUCACUGUCUAUGAUAGGGUCUUUACUUUAUUUAUGUGCUAGUAGACCGGACAUUAUGCUUAGUGUAUGCAUGUGUGCUAGAUUUCAAUCCGACCCCAGGGAAUGUCACCUUGUGGCCGUUAAGCGAAUUCUUAGGUAUUUAGUUGCUAUGCCUUGCUUCGGGAUCUGGUUCAAAGGGGUCUACCUUUGACUUGAUUGGAUAUUCAGACUCUGAUUAUGCUGGAUGCAAGGUUGAUAGGAAGAGUACAUCAAGGACGUGCCAAUUCCUAGGAAGGUCCCUGGUGUCGUGGAGUUCAAAGAAACAAACAUCCGUUGCCCUAUCCACCGCUGAGGCCGAGUAUGUUGCCGUAGGACAGUGUUGCGUGCAACUACUUUGGAUGAGGCAAACCCUCUGGGACUUUGGCUACAAUCUGAGCAAAGUCCCACUCCUAUGUGAUAAUGAGAGUGCAAUCCGCAUGGCAAAUAAUCCUGUUGAACACAGCCGCACUAAGCACAUAGACAUCCGACAUCACUUUUUGAGAGACCACCAGCAAAAGGGAGAUAUCAAGGUGUACCAUAUUAACACCGAGAACUAGCUAGUCGAUAUCUUCACCAAGCCUUUAGAUGAGAAAAGGUUUUGCAGGUUGCGUAGUGAGCUAAAUGUCUUAGAUUCGCGUAACUUGGAUUGAUCUAUAGAAUACAUGUGUUCUAUGCCUUUGAUUAUGCUACUUUAUGCAUUUCAAUUCAUUAAUGUUUAUUUGUGGUGCUCAAGUUGUACACAUGAUCCCCGGACCUCACAAGUCCAUUUGCAAGUGAUGCACUUAUUUAGGGGGAGAUAUGCUUCAACUUGACCCUUGAGACUAAUCUUUGUGUUUGAGUAUUCUUGAUGUAGUCUCAAAGGUGCAUUGAAAGGGAAAAUGGACUUGGACAUUGCAAAGACUUCCACUGCACUCCGGUAUUGGUGUAUUUACUUCCAAGUUCAUACCUAUGCUCUUAUUGCCUUUUUGCUCUUAAUUGACAUUUUUGGUGAGGCAAUGGGGUUAAAGGGCCAAAAAUAAUCCCGUUUUGGUGCUUAAUGCCAAAGGGGGAGAAAUUAAGGCCAAAGCAAAUGGAUCAGCUACCACUUGUGAAUUUUGAAAAUAAUUGAGUUAGAACUUUUGAUUUAUUCAAAAUACUCUUAUUGCAAAAUUUGGUCUCUUGUGGGGGAGAAUUUUGAUUAUGAGAAAAAUGGGGAGUUUUUGGCACUUGAUUAAUUUCACUCUUGCAUUAUCUCUCUUUGUGCCCAAACAAGUGUGUUUGACCUAGAGAUAGGAAAAUGAAUUUGAUUUGCAAAAACAAACCAAGUGGUGGCAAAGAAUGAUCCAAAUUUGCAUUAAUAUUGCACUUCUUUUGGUUGCUUUUGGAUGUGUUGGCAUAAAUCACCAAAAAGGGGGAGAUUGAAAGGGAAAUGUACCCUUGGGCAAUUUCUAUUAUGUUUUGGUGAUUAAGUGCCCAACACAUUUAAUUAAGUUCUUAUGUGCUAAAUGAAGAGAAAAGUGCAAAUCAAGACAUGAGGUAUGUUUCUAGACUUAGUACAUUUGCUUUUGAAUACUGGUGAAGUUAUCUAAGUGUUAGAAACAGAGAAAAGAAGAAAAGAAAAGGAUUGUAAAAGACUGGUUGUGUGCAGCCGAAGCUCAGCUCAGUCUGGCACACCAGACAGUCUGGUGGUGCACCGGACAGUGUCCGGUGCGCCAGGCUGGACUCCGAUGAGAAGGCCGCUCUCGGGAAAAGUUUGGCGGCGUAUGACUAUAAUUCACCGGACUGUCCGGUGGUGCACCGGACUGUCCGGUGAGCCAACGGUCGGUCGCGCAAUCCGCGGGCGACGCGUGGACCGCGCCAACGGUCGGUAGGUGGCACCGGACUGUCCGGUGCGCCAACCGGCCCAGAGCUACAACGGUCGUCUACACCAGAAAAGGAAGGAGAUCGGCACCGGACCAUCUAUAGUGACUAUCCGGUGCGCCACUCGACAGAAGGCAAGGAUAGCCUUCCUUGUUAAUCUUCAACGGCUCCUAGCUGCCUUGGGGCUAUAAAAGGGACCCCUAGGCGCAUGGAGGAGAAAAACAAGCAUUCACUAAGCAUCCUAAGGCAUCCAAACUUCAUUCCCGCGCAUUUGUUUUGUUGUGUUAGAGAUUUGAGCUCUAUUCGAGUCAAGGACUCCCUGUGUUGUCAUUUGAGCUCAAGUCUUCUCUUGUGUGCGUGGGUGUGCUGCGAUUUGUGUCUUGUGUGUGUUGCUCAUCCCAACCUUACUCCGUGCUUUCAUUGUGAUCUUUGUUUUAAGGGCGAGAGACUCCAAUCUUGUGAAGAUUCCUCGCAAACGGGAAUAAUCAUCUCAAUGAAAAACCGUGAUAUUCAAGUUGAUCAUCGGAUCACUUGAAAGGGGUUGAGUGCAACCCUCGUCCAUUGGGACGCCACAAUGUGAAAGUAGGCAAGUGUUACUUGGCCGAACCACGGGAUAAAAAUCGCGUGUCUUGUGUUGAUCUUUUUGUGAUUGUUUUGUCCACAAGAAUUCGCUUCUCAACUACUUAGUCGCACUAACAUUUCUAUAACCAAGUUUUGUGGCUAUUUAGUGUUGAAUUUUACAGGAUCACCUAUUCACCCCCCCCCUCUAGGUGCUCUCAGCCUCGCUCGAUGAUUUGUUUGGAGCCUUUGAUCAUCAAUUCAAAGCUCACAAACUUUCCUAUAACCUCCUCGGGAGACAUUAGCUUGUAUCUAGGAUCACCACGAAUUAAUUGAACUUGUGUAGGAUUAAGAAAAACGAGUCAUCUUAGAAUAACCUUGACCAUUUCAUGGUCAUCCCAUUUUGUGCUCCCGAGGUUGCGCACUUGAUUCACCAAGGUCUUGAGUCGGUUGUACAUGGCUUGUGGCUCCUCUCCUUAGUUAAGCAUGAAUCGACCGAGCUCCCCCUCGAUCGUCUCCCGCUUAGUGAUCUUUGUCACCUCAUCUCCUUCGUGCGCGGUUUUGAGCACGUCCCAAAUCUCUUUAGCACUCUUCAACCCUUGCACCUUAUUAUACUCCUCUCGACUUAGAGAGGCGAGGAGUAUAGUAGUGGCUUGGGAGUUGAAAUGCCGAAUUUGGGCAACUUCGUCCGAGUCAUAGCCUUCGUCCCCCGGCGAUGGUACCUGCGCUCCAAACCUAACAAUGUCCCAAAUACUAGCGUGGAGUGAGGUUAGGUGAUGCCUCAUUUUAUCACUCCACAUGUUAUAAUCUUCACCCUAAAAAACGGGUGCUUUGCCUAGUGGGACAGAAAGUAGAGGAGUGCGUCUAGAGAUACGGGGAUAACGAAGUGGCAUCUUACUAUACUUCUUGUGCUCAUGGCGCUUAGAAGUGACGGACGGCGCAUCGGAGCCGGAGGUUGAUGGCGACGAAGAAUCGAUCUCGUAGUAGACCACCUUCUUCAUCUUCUUUUUCUUUUCGCCGCUACGAAGCGACUUGGCAUGUGAAGGGGAUCCCUUCACCUUGUUGCCGGACUCUCCCGAUGGAGUCUUCCCGUGGCUUGUGGCGGGCUUCUCGCCGGUCACGACCUCCUUCUUGGCGUGAUCUCCCGACAUCACUUCGAGCGGUUAGGCUCUAAUGAAGUACCAGGCUCUGAUACAAAUUGAAAGUCGCCUAGAGGGGGGCGAAUAGGCGGAAUCUGAAAAUUAUAAACUUAAGCACACACUACAAGCCAGGGUUAGCGUUAGAAAUAAAAUCGAGUCCGAAAAAGAGGGUGAAAACAAAUCAAAAGAAAAUGAAGCGGAUGACACGGUGAUUUGUUUUACCGAGGUUCGGUUCUUGCAAACCUACUCCUAGUUGAGGUGGUCACAAAGACCGGGUCUCUUUCAACCCUUUCCCUCUCUCAAACAGUCACCUAGACCGAGUGAGCUUUUCUCCUUAAUCAAAUGGGUCACUUAGACCCCUACAAGGACCACCACAACUUGGUGUCUCUUGCUUUGAUUACAAGUGUCUUGAGAACAAGAAAGAGGAAGAAGAAAAGCAAUCCAAGUGCAAGAGCUCAAAGAACACGAGCAAAACUCUCUCUUCUAGUCACUAAUUGCUUUGAGUGGAAUUGGGAAUUGGAGAGGCUUUGAUUCAAUCUAAUUAUGUCUUGUAUUGAAUGCACUAGCUCUUGUAUUGAGUGAGAUGUCUGAAAAACUUGGAUGCAUUGAAGUGUGGUGGUUG